UACGAAGGGAGCUAGCGUUGUUCGGAAUCACUGGGCGUAAAGCGCACGUAGGCGGAUUUGUCAGUCAGGGGUGAAAUCCCGGGGCUCAACCUCGGAACUGCCUUUGAUACAGCAAGUCUUGAGUUCGAGAGAGGUGGGUGGAAUUCCUAGUGUAGAGGUGAAAUUCGUAGAUAUUAGGAAGAACACCGGUGGCGAAGGCGGCCCACUGGCUCGACUACUGACGCUGAGGUGCGAAAGCGUGGGGAGCAACAGAGUA
rnacentral:rRNA from 1 species